UGGGGAUUUACCUACCUUUAUGUACUUCAAGAUUUGUGGGAAGUGAGGAAGUUGAUUUUUGGGAACCUUGGCAGGGACUUUUUGUCUCAUCGUUACCACAGAGAAUGGUGAGUGCAUGGAAUGGGCUGCUGGCGACGGUGGUGGAGACUCCUGGACGGGUACAUGGAGUUCAGAAAAAUAGAGGGCUAUGGGUAACCCUAGGUAAUUUUUCAGCGUGGAUCCUCUGGAAUUUUCCGUGAUCGCCGCCUCGUGUCAUCUUAGUGUGGAUUUACAAGUUUCUUUCCCUCACCUGUUUCCGUGGAUUUCUGGAAUCAUCUGGAUUGCCAUUUAUGGGACUGUGUUUGCGUAAGAUUUGAGGAGAACUCUUCCCAAACCUGACACCGUUUGUGAGCUACAAAUGCAUAGAACU